AGUGCCUCAUGAAGCUUUCCUGGAGCACCAUCUGGGAGUUUCAGGAGCGACUUUUUCAGAGCUGGGCCCCGGAGGACAACGUGGUCCUCAGGAACCUUCAAACCUCCGUGAAGGAACUCACAAGGAAACACUGGGACCUGCCACCCCCAGGGAGCUUGCUACAAAAUGCACAUAACCACAGCCCGGGUCUUGCAAUCCAAGCCUGGCAAGGAUUCAGCAUGUCAAGGGCUUCAGGUCUGAAGGUCCAUGGCUGUCCUGAAUCCUGGAUAUCACCUUCUUGCCCAAAAAAGGAGGGACGAGGCUCAAACCGCAGCAGGCCACUCACAGAAAGGGACGAAACGUUGAGUGCGUGGCCUCCCUGACACCCAGACAAGACUUUGGGCCCAAAGCCAGGCUGCAGCUCUGGCCACUGACUCAGACCAGGGACGCCCCCAUGCAGGCCGGUGUCCCCUGGCCGCUCUUCUCCCUCCUGCCACCCUCUCUUCGGCUGCUUGUGUCAAUAAAAGGAAAACUGGCCAGUUCUCAGAGAAAAUGUAGCUUUAUUAUGACAUAGGAGAGACUACAAAGCACUGGGGGGGAGGAGGAGUGACACAGCUCCUCAAAAUGGAAGGGGAAAGGAAGAGUAAACAUCUUGGUAAAUAAAGUCUCCAACCACAGCACAGUCAUUGGAAUUUUUUUCUUCAUUUUUAUUUUCAAACUUACAGUAAACAAAACAAUCACUUAAAUUGUCAAAAGAACAGCAAUUUUACACAAUGAAGAGCAUACACACCAAGCCAAAAUACAAUAGCACUCAGGUCUAUAUGUUGCAGUGGUGCUGGCGCUGGAGGGAAUGCCCAGGGAGGCUGCAGUGCUCACCACGAAGCCCAGGUCCACGGAGGGAGCCAAGGUCCACAGAGGGCCCCGGGGCCAGAGGGAGGCCGCCCACACUCCCAGCACAUCACCUGCCUCAAAGCACUCCCUUCAGGCAUCUGAAGAGGGAAAGGCCAUGUGUCUUCCUGGGAGGCACUGAAAGGCCAGCCAGCAUCUCCAAAAUGCAGGCCAUUUUAACACUGCUGUGAAUGUGCUGGGGUCACCAAGGGGGCCCCUUAGUGGUCAGAUGCACUUUGUCACAAUGUACACCUACAUGGGGUGAUUACUAGGCAACGGGAGGUUUCCUGAAUUUCACAGCCAGAUGGGGAGCUAAAAGAAAUUCCUGAACCCAACGCGUAAAUAUUUUGUUCUGACAAAGUAAAUUCACAAGAACACAUCAAACACAAGACCUAAUGCAAGGGGCACUGCCCAGCUCACAAUCCUGUGGGCCAACUUCAGUCAACU
rnacentral:lncRNA from 1 species